UAGGGAAUCUUCCACAAUGGACGCAAGUCUGAUGGAGCAACGCCGCGUGAGUGAAGAAGGGUUUCGGCUCGUAAAGCUCUGUUGUUAAAGAAGAACGUGGGUAAGAGUAACUGUUUACCCAGUGACGGUAUUUAACCAGAAAAGCCGCUAACUACGUGCCAA
rnacentral:rRNA from 1 species